rnacentral:rRNA from 1 species
CUGACGAGUGGCGAACGGGUGAGUAAUAUAUCGGAACGUACCCAAGAGUGGGGGAUAACGUAGCGAAAGUUACGCUAAUACCGCAUACGAUCCAAGGAUGAAAGCAGGGGACCUUCGGGCCUUGUGCUCCUGGAGCGGCCGAUAUCUGAUUAGCUAGUAGGUAGGGUAAAGGCCUACCUAGGCGACGAUCAGUAGCUGGUCUGAGAGGACGACCAGCCACACUGGAACUGAGACACGGUCCAGACUCCUACGGGAGGCAGCAGUGGGGAAUUUUGGACAAUGGGCGCAAGCCUGAUCCAGCAAUGCCGCGUGAGUGAAGAAGGCCUUCGGGUUGUAAAGCUCUUUUGUCAGGGAAGAAACGGGAGUGGCUAAUAUCCAUUCUUAAUGACGGUACCUGAAGAAUAAGCACCGGCUAACUACGUGCCAGCAGCCGCGGUAAUACGUAGGGUGCAAGCGUUAAUCGGAAUUACUGGGCGUAAAGCGUGCGCAGGCGGUUUUGUAAGUCUGACGUGAAAUCCCCGGGCUCAACCUGGGAAUUGCGUUGGAGACUGCAAGGCUAGAAUCUGGCAGAGGGGGGUAGAAUUCCACGUGUAGCAGUGAAAUGCGUAGAGAUGUGGAGGAACACCGAUGGCGAAGGCAGCCCCCUGGGUCAAGAUUGACGCUCAUGCACGAAAGCGUGGGGAGCAAACAGGAUUAGAUACCCUGGUAGUCCACGCCCUAAACGAUGUCUACUAGUUGUCGGGUUUUAAU